AAAGGGGAUCAAGCCUACUGUCAUAAUCAUGCAGAAGAAUGGCAUUAGUCAUUGCAACAGACCCAAGUAAGAGAGGGAUGAAGCAACUCUGAGACUCAGCCCAGUAGGUGGGUGACGUUGACAGCCGGGAGAGAACCACACAAGCCUUUUCUCAUUCUUUCUUUCUCACCUGCAUGCUGCAAGAGCAGGAGACAGCACAAUGCGUCCAAAGAAGGUGAGGAGGAAGGACAAGGAGAGGAAAAGAACAGAUCAAGGCCCUCUUCCUCCCUGCUGGCCACUAAGACAAGGCCAGGCCUAAGCCAGGGGAAGGCAAGAAGCUUGUUAUUUGUGAGAUACAUGAUUUUGAUUACAGUGAACUUUUUAAUUCUUAAACUUAGGUAGUUAAACAAUUCUAAAGCAACCUAAGCUUGGGCAUAAAUUAUGCCCAAGAUAGCAUCUGGAAGCUGGGGAGGGAGACCCUACAGGAAGUUUUAAACUGUGGUAGGAGAAAAAUAAUUACUUGAUUAUACCUGUUGAAUCCAUCCCAAGAAAUAUGCUAAUGGCCAGUAUAAUAUUUGGUUCCUUGAUAUAUUUUUAGGGUUGCUUUGGAAUCUUGAAAUGAAUAGCAUAUUAACUUGAAGAGGUGACAAAUUAAUAGUUUCAUUCUACUGGCUACUUCGAAGGGAAAAAGAUGAAUAAGGAAGUUCAAUGAAUCUAAUAAAGGAGGCUUUGAGGA